UUACGAUGUGACUCUCACGAAUGCCUGCAUCGCCUUAAGUCAAAGAUGGGUCACUGCCAAAGAGGAAGAUUUAAAUUCAUUCAGCAUCGAAGACCUGAAGGACCUCUCGUCCCAUCAGCUGAAUGAGUUCCUGGCACAGGUGCUUCAGAAGAUGGUUACGGCUCUGCAUUCAAUCGAAGUGGGAAGAAGCAAUUCCUUUGGCCCUAAAGAUGGCAACUGAACAAGGAAGGAUGAAAUUUACACGACCUCUAUUCAAGGACCUCGCUGCCUUCGACAAAUCCCACGAUCAAGCUGUCCGCACCUACCAGGAACAUAAAGCCUGUAUGCAUCCCGUGACCGCCAUGCUGGUGGGGAAAGAUCUGAAAGUGGAUUAAGGAACUGAGUGUUGCUGAUUUCAGAAAAUUCCUUUUUUUAAGAAAAAAAAUCGAACCUAUUAAGAAAUACAAAAUUUUAGCUCUCGUUGU
rnacentral:lncRNA from 1 species